UACGUAGGCAGCGAGCGUUGUUCGGAAUUACUGGGCGUAAAGAGUGUGUAGGCGGUGCUCUAAGUUCGGUGUGAAAUCUCCCGGCUUAACUGGGAGGGUGCGCCGGAAACUGGAGUGCUCGAACGUGGGAGAGGAAAGCGGAAUUCCCGGCGUAGCGGUGAAAUGCGUAGAUAUCGGGAGGAACACCUGCGGUGUAGACGGCUUUCUGGACCAUUGUUGACGCUGAGACACGAAAGCGUGGGUAGCAAACAGG
rnacentral:rRNA from 1 species